GUGGUUUAAUUCGAUGCAACGCGAAGAACUUACCUGGUCUUGACAUCCCGGAGACCCUUAGGAAACUAGGGGUGCUUCCAUCUGGAAGAAUCUGGAGACAGGUGCUGCAUGGCUGUCGUCAGCUCGUGUCGUGAGAUGUUGGGUUAAGUCCCGCAACGAGCGCAACCCUUGCCUUUAGUUGCCAGCAGUUCGGCUGGGCACUCUAAAGGGACUGCCGGUGUUAAACCGGAGGAAGGUGGGGAUGACGUCAAGUCCUCAUGGCCUUUAUGACCAGGGCUACACACGUACUACAAUGGCCGAUACAAAGGGCAGCGACACUGCGAGGUGAAGCCAAUCCCGUAAAAUCGGUCUCAGUCCGGAUUGGAGUCUGCAACUCGACUCCAUGAAGUUGGAAUCGCUAGUAAUCGUGGAUCAGCAUGCCACGGUGAAUACGUUCCCGGGCCUU
rnacentral:rRNA from 1 species